rnacentral:tRNA from 1 species
CUGGAUGGAAACAUGAGAAAUAGCCAGGAUACGCCUAUUUCUUGACUGGGGGUCAAGGGGUCGUGGGUUCGAAUCCCGCCAUUCCGACCA